UACGGGGGGGGUAAGCGUUGUUCGGAAUUACUGGGCGUAAAGGGCGCGUAGGCGGCCUUCUAAGUCGAACGUGAAAUCCCCGGGCUCAACCCGGGAACUGCGUCUGAUACUGGAUGGCUUGAGUUUGGGAGAGGGAUGCGGAAUUCCAGGUGUAGCGGUGAAAUGCGUAGAUAUCUGGAGGAACACCGGUGGCGAAGGCGGCAUCCUGGACCAACACUGACACUGAGGAGCGAAAGCCAGGGGAGCAAACGGG
rnacentral:rRNA from 1 species